rnacentral:rRNA from 1 species
AACGAACGCUGGCGGCAUGCCUAACACAUGCAAGUCGAACGGGAUCCUAGCUUGCUAGGUGAGAGUGGCGGACGGGUGAGUAACACGUGGGAAUCUCGCCUUUUUGGUUCGGGAUAACCGCGGGAAACUGCGGCUAAUACCGAAUGCCCUCGAGAGAGGAAAGAUUUAUCGCCAGAAGAGGAGCCCGCGUCCGAUUAGGUAGUUGGUGGGGUAAAGGCCUACCAAGCCGACGAUCGGUAGCUGGUCUGAGAGGAUGAUCAGCCACACUGGGACUGAGAUACGGCCCAGACUCCUACGGGAGGCAGCAGUGGGGAAUAUUGGACAAUGGGGGCAACCCCUGAUCCAGCAAUGCCGCGUGAGUGAUGAAGGCCUUAGGGUUGU